rfam:Triticum urartu cultivar G1812 contig477985, whole genome shotgun sequence.
AUUUUGCUGUGAUCACAAGGACGGUAUCUGAGAAAGGUGUCUCUUAAAAAGUGCUCCUUCAUUGAUUAUACAUUCUGAACUGAUCAAAUUUUCUCAGCAAAUG